ACCUAUUGCUAGUCGCGCAUGCUCUAGUUAGAUGAAAUUGGAAAUAUCUCAACUUCUUUUUGCUUGUAAGAAUGAACUUUGUAAACCUGAUUAUUAGAGAAUUUAAUAGAGCAAUUCAGAGGAAAGAUGUUAGGGUUUGAAAAGACCCAUUAAGGAGAUGGACUAGUCUAGUCUGCUUGAACCCAAUUGAAUCAGAAGGAUUAAUCCUAUUUGGGUCAUGAAACCAAGCAUGCUAAUCAUCUAUCCAUCUUACUCUCUAUAUGAUGUCCGACUAAAUCUCACUCCAUGUCUUUUCCAAACAAACCCCAGUUAAACUGAUUGAAUGCGAGAUACUCCCUACAAAUCUCCACCUGACUAAGCCCCCACCCAUGCCUUUUCCAAACCAAACACCCACUUAAACCGAGUGGACGCAAGACACUCCUUACAAAAGAGGUACCUUGCGUUGCUUACAAAAUAGUUUCACUUGUAUCUCAUUGCUAAUGUUUAAGAGUGUCAUUUUCAUUUUCUGAGGUUCCAUUUUAUUCCCCUUUCCCUCUAUUCAUUUUUUUAGAAUAAAGGCCCACGUACUUUUCAUGCAUUAAUUUAUUUAUAUACUUGAUGUGGUACAGUCCUACUGGACGCUUACUCUAGAUUCGGACCCUAUAGCUCUUGAUAUUAUCUUGCUUUCUCUGUGUAUCUCCUCCAAUAUCCUAUUUCUUGAAAUAUUCAUGAAAUUUUCCAUUUAAUAUAUCUGAUACAGAAACCAAGCUUUAUAAACAGAUCCAAACUGUCUAGUUGAAAGCCCCUCCAGGAUCGAUCUUUGGUAGGGUCUUAAAAUUUGAAGAAAGAGUUGAAGAUGUGUCUACCUCGCCCAAAGUCAUGGUUUGGUUCUUGGAUCUGUAUCUGGUGUAGGUUCUGAUUCUCACUUCUGACUUCUAAGCACAAAAUCGGUUGAGCUUGCAAAGUCCAAUCUGAAAGCUUAUGCUGAAGAAGGUACACUCAGGUUGCGGUCAUCAUUUCAAGGCUGCGAUGGAUGCAGAAGUAUAAAAUAGCAAGAGGGUUUUCAUGGGAUAAUUGCUGCCAUGUUUAUCGCUGAAAUGUUUUCUGAGUAAAUGAAGUUCAUUUCAUCGAAGGAAAUAAAGAUGAAAGUAGAUAUGAACGAACAAUAUCAAGGUUUGUCGCACGUUGAAUGUUGCAAGCUUGUUUUAAGGAAACCCCCAUUUAUGUGCAUCUAGUUCUCUAGUCUUAUGCUGGCUGGAGUUAAUAAUGCAAUUAACAUUUUGGGGCUCAAUUUACGCAUACCCCAUUUAUGAUAUCA